UACGGGGGGUGCGAGCGUUGUCCGGAAUCACUGGGCGUAAAGCGCGCGCAGGCGGUCUUCCAAGUCAGUGGUGAAAGCCUGGAGCUCAACUCCAGAACUGCCAUUGAAACUGUUAGACUUGAGUACGAGAGAGGUGAGUGGAAUUCCCAGUGUAGAGGUGAAAUUCGUAGAUAUUGGGAAGAACACCAGUGGCGAAGGCGGCUCACUGGCUCGUAACUGACGCUCAGGCGCGACAGCGUGGGGAUCAAACAGG
rnacentral:rRNA from 1 species